CUACGGGUGGCUCCAGUGAGGAAUAUUGCACAAUGGGGGGAACUCUGAUGCAGCAACGCCGCGUGGAGGAUGACACUUUUCGGAGCGUAAACUCCUUUUAUAUAGGAAGAAGAUGACGGUACUAUAUGAAUAAGCGCCGGCUAACUCCGUGCCAGCAGCCGCGGUAAUACGGAGGGCGCAAGCGUUACUCGGAAUCACUGGGCGUAAAGAGCGUGUAGGCGGAUUAAAAAGUCAGAAGUGAAAUCCUAUAGCUUAACUAUAGAACUGCUUCUGAAACUCUUAAUCUAGAAUAUGGGAGAGGUAGAUGGAAUUUCUAGUGUAGGGGUAAAAUCCGUAGAGAUCAGAAGGAAUACCGAUUGCGAAGGCGAUCUACUAGAACAUUAUUGACGCUGAGACGCGAAAGCGUGGGGAGCAAACAGGAUUAGAUACCCCAGUAGUC
rnacentral:rRNA from 1 species